rnacentral:rRNA from 1 species
CCUACGGGUGGCAGCAGUGGGGAAUAUUGCACAAUGGGGGGAACCCUGAUGCAGCAACGCCGCGUGAAGGAAGACGGUUUUCGGAUUGUAAACUUCUAUCAAUAGGGAAGAAAGAAAUGACGGAACCUGAUUAAGAAGCCCCGGCUAACUACGUGCCAGCAGCCGCGGUAAUACGUAGGGGGCAAGCGUUAUCCGGAUUUACUGGGUGUAAAGGGAGCGUAGACGGUGAUGCAAGUCAGAAGUGAAAGCCCGGGGCUCAACUCCGGGACUGCUUUUGAAACUGUGUGACUGGAGUGCAGGAGAGGUAAGCGGAAUUCCUGGUGUAGCGGUGAAAUGCGUAGAUAUCAGGAGGAACACCAGUGGCGAAGGCGGCUUACUGGACUGUAACUGACGUUGAGGCUCGAAAGCGUGGGGAGCAAACAGGAUUAGAUACCCCUGUAGUC